rnacentral:tRNA from 1 species
CGCUUAGCUCAGUUGGUUAGAGCACCUGCCUUACAAGCAGGGGGUCAUAGGUUCGAGUCCUAUAGCGUCC